UUAAGGUGUGUGUUAACUUCCUGAGAGCGUUAUAAGCGUUAUAACAAGAGUUCAUUUUGUUCAAUAUUUAGUGUAGAUUCAGCAUACAUUGAGGAUAAAAUAUUUGUAGUAUAAAAAAGUGAAUAUGUGGUGUAUUACACAUUAAAUUGUGUGAAGUUUGAAAUAUGUUGUAAAAUAAUCACAUUUAGCUGAACUCGACACUGUCCUGAGGAUAAAAUAAUAGUGUUACACCAUAAAAAUAGUGUGAUAAAGAUCUGAUAUGAGAGCUGGAAAAUGUGAGAAAAUCUGUCGGAAAGAAAUCCUGUAAUAUUCAACAUUGGUAUCUGUGCGAUUUUUUUUAAAGUGUUAACAUAUGUGAUAGUUUGAUACAAUGUAUUUUGAGGCAAUUGAUAGUGCGAAAUGCGACAGUAUGUAUUUUCUGUUGCAAUACAUACGACAACCUCAUAGUUCAAAGCGUAGUGAGUGAUGGAACAUAUUUCAACAUGUUUAAAAGGAUUAUUUUAUUAUAAAAUAUUGCGUCAGUUGCUAGCUGAUUAAGAAUGAUUGGAUUGCUGCAACAACUGUUAAACAAACACGGCUAUUGUAAUUAAAUCCUAUCCGACUGUGUUUCUCACCAUUCCAAUGAAGAACACACAUAAACUUAUGCUUCUUAACCGAGCAAAAAAAAUAUGUUAUUUUUUUAAAGUGAAGCUUUCAUAUAAACUAUUCAUAAUAAUAGAGUCACUGUUUUAGCCUCCAAGAGCAGUAGCGUGAAUGUGGUUCAUUGCUCGAGAACACCAUGAUGUUUCAAUGUUGUUUAUUUGCUCUAAUGAUAGCACAUUGCGUAUCAUCCCCGGACCAAACAAAGCGAGAAGAUUUUCAGCUGAGCCAUCCAUAUAUCGAUGACAUACACAACACUAGCCAGAUUGAUUUCUCAAUUAAUACCAUCCAAGACCUGAACAAUUUUGAUCUUGAAUACUCUGGAAUUCCAAUGUUAAAUGUUCAGGAUAUAUACGACGAAAAUAAUGCAUCACAAGAUGACAAAAGUGGUGCUGGUAACGCUCCAAUAAUGACAGCAGGAGAGAUGAGAUACGAUGAUGGUGACAACAGAAAUGACAUUCUUUACGACAGUUCCGUAAGGAUACUGUCCCCUUUAAACGGUGCGGAAUCUGCGGCCGAAUCCAUUCACGUCAGUUCCCGAACGGAAUUGAACAACUUAGAAGCAGAGCAGGAUACAUUUGAAUCUGUUGGUUCCCAGGGUUUCUUGCAGCACCACUUCGAACCCUCACCGGAUAGCCGACAGCAACUGGAUGGCACUGAAGUUGUUCAAUUAUCAUCAACAUUGUUAACAAUGGGCACGACUUCAAACAAUUUCAACUCUUCACCUACGACUGGCCUCACGGUUCUCACCGUUUUAUCACCAACGGCUGUGGAAGUAUCACUGGAGAAAACCUCCAAUGUAUCUUUACCCAGCGUAUCUACCCAACGAACCAUACAACAUCCCAUGUCCAAUGUCAGAUUGGCUGUUAUGGAAUAUAAUAAAGUCGAUGCCAGCGAAACCGUGAAGAUGGAUGCAACUGGCUCAUAUAACGACCAAAUUACAACGACCCAGAAGAAUAGUGAUAUACAACAAUCGAUAGUAGAUGCUCACAGGAGAAAUAAUCCCAAGAGUAUUCCCAAUUUCCACCCUACUGCAUUCGACGAUACGAUAGCAACUGUUACAUAUUCUAGUUUGCAACGUCAUAGAACAAUUAAUUCAAUGAAUCUUAAUCCUACCACGCCAUCCAUGGUAGUGAAACCAGUAGGUGAACUUCGAAAGUUGCUGAAAAGCACAGGACCCAUCCUAAACUAUGUAUUCGACCAUCAUCCUCCUUACUACAAAUCAACAUAUUACAAUACUAGGUACGGACCUCACUUUGAAACUGAUAAUGUCACGAAUAUCACAGUGCAGAACGGUGAUACACUUUUUUUGAGUUGUAGGAUCAGCCUCCUGCAAGACAAAACGGUGUCCUGGGUGCGACGGAAAAAAGGCGAUACAGCGUUACAGCUGUUGACCGUUGGAAGGCAAACGUAUUCCGGUGAUCCGCGAUACCACAUAGAGUUCCAAUAUCCAAAUAAUUGGCGGCUGAAGAUAUCCAGAGCUCACAAAGAUGAUGAAGGAGUGUACGAGUGUCAGAUAUCAACCCAUCCACCUAAAGUUAUUGUAUACUUUUUAUUCGUUAACGCACCUGAAGUAGCCAUCGUAGACGAAGAAGGUGUGCCAUUAUACGAUAAGUACUACGAAGUUGGAUCGACGAUAAAACUGAUGUGCAAAAUUCGACACAUCUCGAUGUUACGGUCUGUCGUUUAUUGGAUACACAACGAAAACACUCUUAAUCAUGAUACAACACGAGGUGGUAUCAGUGUUAAGACCAACUUAACGGAUAUUGGAGCCAAUUCGACACUUUUUAUAGCUAAAGUUAAGCGACAGGACUCUGGCACCUAUAUGUGUUCCAUUGGACCGAACCAACAUUAUUCUAUUUCAGUGCAUGUGCUCAACGGUACCGCUAACCCCUUCGGAAUCUACCAGCGUUCGUGUGCCUUUUCAAUAAUUUUACAGGCUGUAGACCUUUGGUUUGUCAUUCGGAGUCUCUUCUUCUUCUUCAUGAAAGUUUCUAUAGAAAGAUAAUAGUAAGAGUUGUCGUAGUUGCUCCGGGAAAUCCUCCUUAAAUAAUUAACUAUGUACCCAAUUCCUUAGAUUUUUUUUAUCGUAUUUAUGUCCUAGGAUCCUUCCUAUUAGCACAUUAAUAAGCGAUAAUAACAAACCAAGAAGUACUUUUUUAUGCUACAAAAUUGAAUUGCAUUAUUUUUUUUUUAAUACUUUUCAGCAGCAAAGGUAAUAAUAAGGCAACCAAAGCGGCGAAAAAUUGAAAACAUAUCAUGGAGGCAAUCCUUUUUAACACUUGUGAAUCCUUCAUGGUUUAUUUUACAUAGUAGCAUUUUUAUACUAAUGGAAAAUUGUUUUUCCCAGUUAGCGUAAAAUCCAGAAGAGAAAUAAAAAUACAGAAUUAAUUAAUGGUCCAAUACGCUAAUUCACAUUUGUGUUUAUUCUUAUCAAAUUUAAAGGACUACAGUAGAACGUCGAUUUUGCGGGGACGGAUUAAUCGGCGGACGACUUAACCAUGCGCAUGAGUUUGACAGUUGGUCUGUCGUGGCGAACAUUUUCUGUGAUAAACCGUUCACAACAUAUAAAAUUUGGAAAAUGAAGUAAAAUCCACUGAUAUUACGGAAGAGUUCAAACUAUGGUAGCAUAUGCUUUACCUUCAUGUUCGUGUCUAAAAACUAAACAUCAAACGCG